GCUGACUGCUAUGAUACGUUCAUAAGUUAAAGAAUGAGAAUUAGGCCAUUCAGCCCAUCAAGUCUACAUAGUCAUUGAAUCAUGGCUGAUUUGCCUUUCCCUCCCAACACCAUUCUCCUGCCUUCUCCCCAUAACCCCUGACACC